CCAGAGCGGACAGAGGUCAGAGAAGGGGACACCGCCCGGCUGUACUGUAGAGCGCUAGGCAGCCCCACUCCAACAAUCUCCUGGAGGAAGCAAGAUGGUAUCCUACCCCCUCAGGUCCUGCUCAAUGAAGAGAGAAGAGACUGCUGCAGCGCGAGCAAGUGGAUGAGGAGUUUCAGAAAAAGUCAACAUAGAGAUGAUUGGAGCAGCAAUGUUCAUACAUGACCUAAGCCUGAUUUUGGAGGUCCCCCUUCUACUGGUCAUGGGAGUUGCAGAGAUCUAAUAGUCAUCCACCAAUCCUGUGAAAAGCGACACUUGCUACAACUCUUUAACGCAGCGUUCUUAUUCUUGCAACUGCUCAUUUAAGCUGCCGAACCAAUGAAAUGCAAACUACUGUAAUAAGAAAGCGAUCUUAUGAAAUUGCUAGUUAUGCAAUUCCCUAUUAUGUCUCAGGUAAAACUUCACCUGCAGCUCAUUUACCAUUUCGUAUCCAUUUGCUCUCUAUAACUUGCCAAUUACAAUGCCUGACAUUAUUCUGACACUUCACUUUUUCACUUUUCUCAGUUUUUUUUAUCCCCUUGGGUCCCACCUAUGACCCAAGAUUAACCCCGACGUAUAAAUAACACACAUCCUCCUUAAUCUAUUCCCAGGGGCAGUUGCCUUAUUUUCUGAUGAAUCCCUCCUUUAAAGAGAACGUGAGCCCGGUGGAUUUAGACAAUAGGAAAUACAAAGUCUCCAGGAGUGGUGGGUGUAUGAAGUCUUCUCAGUGAGACGGUGGGGUCAGAACAUAGGGCUCUGUUUUGUUUUUCCCUCAAUUUUUUUUAGAUUCCUAAUUAACUAAGUUGUUCAUUCUCUUGUCACCAUCUCCAAAUUAUCUCCUCGGGCUGUGAUCCAGACCUUCCAAUGUCCUUCAUGAAAACAGGCUCAGAUCUCUUUGAACAGAGCAGAACAGAACAUUUUAUACUGAUAGAAAGAGCCUCAGUGAUUUAGAAAUUCCCUAGAGGGAAAAUGAAGGGAGGGUGGAUGUCCUCUCAGACUUCACAGACAUUCAUAGAAAGCGAGGCGCUCCAAGUGUGAACUCGAAAGAAACACCAAUAACCGUUAAAAACACCUUCAUUUUUCAAGAAGCGGCAGAACCCUUUACAUUGUGAAGUUUUACAUCUUAAAGCUGGAAUAGAAAGGCAUGUAUAAUGACUGCAUUGUGCCGCACAGUGACACUCCUUAUUACUGUCACCGCACA